GUCCAGCUAGCUCAGUCAGUAGGGCAUGGGACUCUUAAUCCUAUGGUCUCAGGUUCAAGCCCCACAUUGGGCG
rnacentral:tRNA from 1 species